rnacentral:rRNA from 1 species
UACAGAGGGUGCAAGCGUUGUUCGGAAUUACUGGGCGUAAAGCGCGUGUAGGCUGCGGUGUAAGUCAGGUGUGAAAGCCCUCAGCUUAACUGAGGAAGUGCACUUGAUACUGCGUCGCUUGAGUGUCGGAGGGGGUGGCGGAAUUCCCGGUGUAGAGGUGAAAUUCGUAGAUAUCGGGAGGAACACCUGUGGCGAAGGCGGCCACCUGGACGACAACUGACGCUGAGACGCGAAAGCGUGGGUAGCAAACAGG